GGACAGCAGAAAGAGAAACAGAGAGAGAGAGGGGGCUUGGGGUAAUAGAAACAAGUCGAGGAGAGGAAAAUGCCACAAUAUAUAUUAGGCAUUGAUUUUUUUCUCUCUCUCUCCUCAGAGACAUUCGUUUUCAGAGCCACCAUCAGUAUUUCUGCUCCACUGAUUCCGGCUCAGGUCAUUUCAGCGCGUACUGUCCCACAACAGCCCUCUUGGCUCUCUAUAACAUGGGGCAACACACCUCAUAACGUGAUAGGCUAGAUUAGAGACCAAAUGUGUUUGACGCAACCCAUAUUAUCAGCGAAGGAAAUUAGGGAGGCGUUUAGCUGAGAGAAUUGUAAUAAUGGUUCACAAUGGCGUGCACAACAGAGUUUUUGUCUGUAUCCUAUAAGUCCUUUGCCUACAACCUUUUUACACUGAGAAACUAUUAACUAAGAUAAUACUCUUGUACUGCCAAAUAUGACCGUAUUCAAUAUUUGCAAAACAUUAUUUGCAAAAGCAGCAAUUUCUCAAAUGUACACCUCACUAGCCCUAUGUAUAAUUACAUACCCUUUUUAAUAUUGCGUCCGUCCAAGCACUUUCCAUUAAUGUGUUGCUUUUUGUCUUAGUACUGCAAUACUUUACGUCUGUGACAUUAGAAAAUGGGUCAACCACUUUAAUCAGGCAAGCAAUUGUUGUUUUAAAUGUGUCCAUUUCUAUAAUUCUACCCUUUUCUAUUGAAUUGUAUAAAAACCUAGUAGAAAGCAAUUCUAAGCCUACUGGAAGUGCAAAUCAUCCCAAACAUCAUCCAAUUUCCUCUAGUUUCAAGGUUUGUAGGCUAAUAUGGGUACAAGAAAAUAUUGAUUUCAACUAAAACAUAAUGGUCGGCAGGUAGCCUAGUGGUUAGAGCGUUGGACUAGUAUCCGAAAGGUUGCAAGAUCAAAUUCCCGAGCUGACAAGGUAAAAAUCUAUUGUUCUGCCCCUGAACAAGGCAGUUAACCCACUGUUCCUAGACCGUUAUUGAAAAUAAGAAUUUGUUCUUAACUGACUUGCCUAGUUAAAUAAAGGUAAACAUUUUAAACAGGGUGACAUUCAAAAAAGCUAUGAAAAAAUAUAUUAUAU
rnacentral:lncRNA from 1 species